CUCCUAGGGGAGGCAGCAGUGGGGAAUAUUGGGCAAUGGGGGAAACCCUGUACCCAGCGAUGACGGUACCUGCAGAAGAAGCCACGGCUAACUACGUGCCACCAGCCGCGGUAAUACGUAGGUGGCAAGCGUUAUCCGGAUUUAUUGGGUGUAAAGGGUGUGUAGGCGGGACUUCAAGUCAGACGUGAAAAUCAUGGGCUCAACCCAUGACUUGCGUUUGAAACUGCGGUUCUUGAGAGUGGGAGAGGUAAACGGAAUUCCUGGUGUAGCGGUGAAAUUCGUAGAUAUAAGGAGGAACAGCGGUGGUGAAGGCGGUUUAAUGGACCAAAACUGACGCUGAGACAACGAAAGCGUGGGGAGCAAACAGGAUUAGAUACCCUGGUAGUCCACCCCGUAAACGAUUGAAUGCUAGGUGUAGGGUACGAACGUAUUCUGUGCCGCAGUAACGAAUAGCAUUCCACCUGGGAGUACGGCCGCAAGGUUGAAACUCAAAAGGAAUUGACCGGGGAGACCCGCACAAGGCAGUGGAGUAUGUGGUUUACAUUCGACGCAACGCGAAGAACCUUACCGGAGCUUGACAUCCACAGAAGGCCGAGUAAUGUCGGCUGUGCUUCGGGGAACUGUGAGACAGGUGGUGCAUGGUUGUCGUCAGCUCGUGUCGUGAGAUGUUGGGUUAAGUCCCGCAACGAGCGCAACCUUACGGUCAGUUACUACGCAAGAGGACUCUGGCCACACUGCCGUUGACAAAACGGAGGAAGGUGGGGAUGACGUCAAAUCAUCAUGCCCUUUAUGACUUGGGCUACACACGUACUACAAUGGCGUUAAACAAAGAGAAGCAAGACCGCGAGGUGGAGCAAAACUCAGAAACAACGUCCCAGUUCGGACUGCAGGCUGCAACUCGCCUGCACGAAGUCGGAAUUGCUAGUAAUCGUGGAUCAGCAUGCCACGGUGAAUACGUUCCCGGGCCUUGUACACACCGC
rnacentral:rRNA from 1 species